GUACUUUGGUUCCUGCCCGCUGGAGGUCGGUCCUGGUUCUAAAGCGACCCUGUGACCUGUCUCCCUGUGCGCGUGCACUCCGCGCUCUCCACCAUGCCCGGGGGCGUACCCUGGUCCGCCUACUUGAAAAUGCUUUCCUCCAGCCUCCUGGCCAUGUGAGCCGGGGCCCAGGUGGUGCAUUGGUACUAUCGGCCUGACCUGAAGAUAUCCUGACCGAAGUGUUGCCGUUUCAAACAAAACUACAGCAAGAUCCAUGACUGUCUUGUCAUCUUCAUCUUCCUGAUAGAAGGCUCUGUGAGAUAAAUGACUUCAUAGCCCUUCUU
rnacentral:lncRNA from 1 species